UGAGGCUUGGCUCAGUGGUAGGGCACCUGUCUAGUCAGCAUGAGGUUCUGAGUUCAAAUCCCAGUACUGCAA
rnacentral:tRNA from 1 species